CAUUUACUACUUUUUUGUGGUUUUCUCAGUUCUCUGAACAGCAAAUGGAUUUUUAGGGUUGUUCAUUUUUUUUCAUUUACUAGCCAACCAUGUUUUCUUUGUUCAGAUCUGUGUCAAACAAACCAUUUUUUGUUAUGGUAUUUGUCUUUCUGAAAGCCAAGAAGAAAUGUCUUUUCACUUGCCAUUAAUUGUUUUCGUCGUUUUCUGCGUACCCCUUCAGUUACCAAUGCGCGUUUUCUAAUUUUUCACUCUUUUCGAUGUUUCACGCUUUCCAUUGCUACACGCCUUUCCAGUUUUCCAUUUUCCAUUUCCGUUGUGCCUUUUGGAUUGUGGGUUUUGAAUUCUCUCCUGUUUUGAUUUGCUCUCACGCUUUUAUUAAGCCUGGAAUUCGUAUUCAGCUUGGUUUGCCAUGUAUCAUGAGGUUUGAAUAUCAGUGUAUGUGUUUUUGUAAUUUAUUCUGAGUUUUCGCAGUCCAACAAGACAAAAGGUUGGACCUUUGUUCAUUUUAUCAUUAGUUUAUCUUUUCCUAUACCUUGCUUUGCGAUUUUUGGUGGGUUAAUUUUGUCUGUCACACAUUGUUGCCGCUUGAUGUUCAUCUGCAUCAUGAACAACCUUCUUAGCAACUCAUUACAUACACGUUUUUAUUUGAUUUCAUGAUGGUCGAGAACAACAAAGAAGGCAAAAACGAUAGGUGAAGCACAAUAAAGGCCGUUAACACUGUCCCACAAACUCAUUACAUACAGGUUGCGAAGUAGGACAGUCACAUCCAAUUUAAAGCUUCAUAUCAAUGGUGACUUAGUUUUCAAGGGCCCAUCAAAUAUGAUGGCAAGAACACGAUUUACAGCAGCAUUUCGUGUUCAGAAGAACAUCAUUGAAGUUCCAUUGAGUUACCAUAGUCAAUGGAGGCCAUAUUACCCAACUUAUGUUUUAUUUGACUACAAUGGAACCAAGCAUUUUAUUAGGGUGCACAAAUGUGGCACUCGAUGUUUUUUUGCUGAUGGGCUGAAAGAGUUUAGAAGAACCCACGACAUUAAUGACAGUGUCAUUAUCCGAUUUUUUGCAGCCUCUAAAGAUACUUCUUUGGAAGUCGACAUCAUGGGACCUAUCCUUAGACAGACAUGUCAAAGGUCGGUUGUUACAACCAGAAGGCACAUCUUUACCGCUGAUGUCACCCAAGACAUGAUCGAACAUACCAACCC